AUGGGGAGCUUGAUAGACGAAGCAGGAACUGAGGAGCAGCCCUUGGACCCGAAGCCAUUGCACUCACUAGCGCCGAUGUUCCCUACCCCUCCUGGGUAUGAUCUAGCAACUGCUGGAUCAUCCGACCCACCAUUCUUCUACUACAUCACACCAAUACGACAACACCCUGGGCCGGCUCCAGCUUCAUUUGCUGGGCCGCCGCCAGGGCCCUGCUCCUCACCGCAACAACACCCUGGGCCGGCUCCAGCUUCAUUUGCUGGGCCGCCACCGCAACAACACCCUGGGCCAGCUCCAGCUUCAUUUGCUGGGCCGUCACCAGGACCAGGGUCCGCAGUUCCUCUGAAGGCCACGCCAAUCUCGGCAGCAUUUCCCGCGCGGCGACUCAAAGAGGAACUGUCGGAUGAAGACUACACUCCUGCUUCCGAGAAGAGGAAACCAUCUUCAUCUUCACCCAAGAGCACAGCCAAGAGGGUUCGGCAGGCCGGAGACUCCACUGCAGCCAACACCAAGCAGAGACCGAUCAGGAGGAGCCUCAGCAAGGAGCUCGCCGGCUGGCCCUCCGCAUCGGACAACCCAAGGGAGGCAGUGGAAGCGACCAUGGCCAUGUUCGACUCGCUCCGGCGCCGGACGCUGCAGCUGGAUGAGAAGGAGGGCUUGGGCAGGCGCGCCGACCUCAAGGCCAGUGUUCUCAUGAACCAUAACAACCUGAAGAUCAACAGCCUCAAGACGAUAGGCCCCGUCCCGGGCGUCGAAAUCGGAGACAUCUUCUUCUACAGGAUUGAGAUGUGCAUCGUGGGGUUGCAUGCGCCAUCCAUGGCCGGCAUCGACUACCUGUCGGCUAAGCUUGUUGCCGGGAGGGACGAGAGCCUGGCCGUGAGCAUCAUCUCGUCCGGCGGAUACGAGAACGUUGAAGAUGAGACCGACACCCUGGUGUACACGGGCCAAGGAGGCAACAGCCGGCGCAAGGACAAGGAGAAGCACGACCAGAAGCUGGAGAAAGGAAACCUUGCUCUCAGCAACAGCGCCAGCAAGAAGAACCAGAUCAGGGUGGUGCGCAGUGCACGGGACCCUUUCUCUAUCACAGCAGGCAAGGUUUACAUCUACGAUGGAGUGUAUCGCAUCGAGGACUCCUGGAUGGACACGGCCAAGAACGGGUUCAGUGUGUUCAAGUACAGGCUGAGGAGGGAGCCAGGGCAACCUCAUGGAAUUUCAGUCUGGAAGAUGACAGAAAAGUGGAAGGCAAACCGUGCCACAAGAGAAAAUGCCAUGGUGCUGGAUCUAUCAUCAGGGGCUGAGAUCCUGCCUGUGUGCCUUGUCAACGAAGUCGACGGCGAAACGGGGCCGAGCCACUUCAAGUAUGUCACCGGAGUGAAGCACUCGAGACCUCUUGGUAGGAACAAGCCAUUGCACCACUGUGAGUGUACUAGUGUGUGCAUGCCAGGUGACCCCAAUUGUUCGUGCGCGCGACAGAAUGGCGGCGAUCUUCCCUACAACUUGGACGGGGUGCUCGCGAGGCAUGUUCCGAUGCUUUACGAGUGCUCUCGUGACUGCCAUUGCACCAAGGACUGUCGGAACAGGGUUGCACAGAGAGGUGUUCAGCUCAACUUUGAGGUGUUCCGGACCGGAGACCGUGGAUGGGGUCUCCGAUCAUGGGACCCGAUCCGUGCCGGCGCAUUCGUUUGCGAGUAUGCUGGUCAAGUCAUGGACGAAACCAACAUGAGCAUGGAUGUCGAGGAGGACGAGUACACCUUUCGCACAACAUGUCCAAGUGACAAGGCUCUAAGAUGGAACCUGGGUGCAGAGUUGCUCGAGGAAAAAGGUGCAGAUGCCACAGCUGAGAGGUUUAAGAAGCUUCCUGUCGUGAUAAGUGCAAAAGAUGCAGGCAACGUUGCUCGUUUCGUCAACCAUAGCUGCUCCCCGAAUCUACUCUGGCAGGCUGUGCAAUAUGACCAUACCGAUGACAGUUAUCCGCAUAUCAUGUUCUUCGCUAUGAAACAUAUCCCUCCUAUGACUGAGCUGACAUAUGAUUAUGGCAUUAGAGGGGCUCCUCCGGGCCUCAAGGGGAAAUCUCCCCUGGCUUGCAAGCUCAAGCCAUGCUUAUGUGGAUCUGCAAACUGUCGAGGUUCUUUCUGA
rnacentral:rRNA from 1 species